AUUGAACGCUGGCGGCGUGCCUAACACAUGCAAGUCGAGCGAGAAGACGUAGCAAUACGUUUGUAAAGCGGCGAACGGGUGAGGAAUACAUGGGUAACCUACCCUCGAGUGGGGAAGUAACUAGCCGAAGGUUAGCUAAUACCGCGUACGCUCCUUGGACUUCGGUUUCGAGGGAGGGAAAGCGAUACCGUGGGUAGUCGCGCUCUUGGAUGGGCGUCAUGUCCUAUCAGCUU
rnacentral:rRNA from 1 species